GAGUAAGAAGUGAAAGAUGAGAAUGAUGAAUAUGGUUGAUUGGAUGGUAAAAGAUAAUUGUUUUCACCAUGGAUGCUAUUGGAUAGAUGCUCACCUAGAAUGGUUAUUUGAACUAGAACCUGAAAACUAAAACCUAUAAUUAAGGAUCCACUCUUUACUGCUUUUCGGCAAAACAAACCCCUCCAGCCAAAAGCCUUGCAUGUCUAGAUAAAGGGCUAAGUAUACCCUCAGUCGGGUAAGCCUUGCUGAGUAUUAGAAUACUCAGCCUUGCUUGUGGCUUCGUUUUUCAGGUGGUAUAUCUGAGGGUGUGGCUGACGUCAUGUACGGACUUCAUCAUGACGUCUUGAUUCGUUGGUAGAAUAUCGUUCAUUUCUCCACCGCACUUAAUCUCUGUUGUACUUUUGUCAAUUCAAACUUGGUUUGUAUUAAUAAUUCAGUUUCAUACUCUAUGCUGUAAAAUUUGUGGAAUGUUGUAUUCUCUGAACUGCUUUAUCGAUCCUGUUCAAGUGGUUUAAUCGGGAUUUUACCCGACAGCACUGCCGGAUUACUCCAUUUUAAGUGCGUGUUAACCCUAAUUGUCGUGUUGAUGAUUGUUAGCGCACUUAAGCCGGAUUAAUUUGGGCGGGGCUGCCACACUGGCGAAUCUCAUGCUUCGGCCUCAAAUGCGAGGAGUUGAGGAGGUGUGCUGCUGAUCAUCUGCACGGAUUGCGGGUGGAGGAGGGUAGUGCGCCGCACAUUGCAGUAGCCAUGGAGCAAGGGGAAGGUUUUCUACUGUUGCCCCAAUCACAAGCGAGAUGGGAGUGGGUGCCCAUUUUUUCACUGGGAAGAUGCAUACAUCGAUCUCCUGGCCAGUAAACACAAGAACAGGCAUGGUGAUGAAUCAAGGAUGUAUGGAGUGAAUCUACGAUGCAUGGAGCAAAUCAAGGAUGCUGGAGCAGCAUGGGAGGAUGCAGAUGGAUUCAAUAGCAAUGUAUGGGUGAAGGAACACCCUGGAUGUGUAGGAAUUGGAAAAGAGUUAGUCAAUUUGGUCAAGGCAUUGUGCUUGAUUUGUGUUUGUAUCCUGUUUGUGUCUAUGCUCAGUCUGUUAGUUCAGAUUACCAAGUGAGAGUUCACAGUCUGUAUCUAUGUAUGCAAACCCUUGGUUGUUAUGUAUGCCGACAUCCACAGUUGCAUUGUUUUAGUGCGUAGCAUGAAGCUGGCCAAAAUA